rnacentral:rRNA from 1 species
CCUACGGGAGGCAGCAGUAAGGAAUAUUGGACAAUGGGCGCAAGCCUGAUCCAGCCAUGCCGCGUGAAGGAUUAAGGUCCUCUGGAUUGUAAACUUCUUUUAUAGGGGACGAAAAAAGGGCAUUCUUGUUCACUUGACGGUACCCUAUGAAUAAGCACCGGCUAACUCCGUGCCAGCAGCCGCGGUAAUACGGGGGGUGCAAGCGUUAUCCGGAUUCACUGGGUUUAAAGGGUGCGUAGGCGGGCAGGUAAGUCAGUGGUGAAAUCCUAGAGCUUAACUCUAGAACUGCCAUUGAUACUAUCUGUCUUGAAUAUUGUGGAGGUAAGCGGAAUAUGUCAUGUAGCGGUGAAAUGCUUAGAUAUGACAUAGAACACCUAUUGCGAAGGCAGCUUACUACGCAUAUAUUGACGCUGAGGCACGAAAGCGUGGGGAUCAAACAGGAUUAGAUACCCUGGUAGUCCACGCCCUAAACGAUGGAUACUCGACAUACGCGAUACACUGUGUGUGUCUGAGCGAAAGCAUUAAGUAUCCCACCUGGGAAGUACGUCCGCAAGGAUGAAACUCAAAUGAAUUGACGG